UACAAGCCUCACUAAGGUGAAACCGCGAAUGGCUCAUUAAAUCACACCUAAUGUACUGGACAGUCUCAGUUACUUGGAUAACUGCGGUAAUUCUGGAGCUAAUACAUGCGUACUAGCCGCGACUCACGGAGCGGUGCUUUUAUUAGAUCAAAACCAAACGGCCUCGAGCCGUCCCCCUGGUGAUUCUGAAUAACUUUGGGCUGAUCGCACGGACUCGUUCCGGCGACGUGUCCUUCCAAGGUGUGCCCUAUCAACUGUCGACUGUGGCAUAGACGCCCACAGUGGUUUUGACGGGUAACGGGGAAUUAGGGUUCGAUUCCGGAGAGGGAGCCUGAGAAACGGCUACCACUUCUACGGAAGGCAGCAGGCACGCAAAUUACCCACUGGCCGAAGGCCGAGGUAGUGACGAAAAAUAACGAUACCGGACUCAUCCGAGGCCCGGUAAUCGGAAUGAGUACACUUUAAAUCCUUUAACGAGGAACAAUUGGAGGGCAAGUCUGGUGCCAGCAGCCGCGGUAAUUCCAGCUCCAAUAGCGUAUAUUAAAGUUGUUGCGGUUAAAAAGCUCGUAGUUGGAUCUCGGCGGGCAGGGGGUGGUUCGCUCUUCAGCGCUACUGCCCCGCUUUGCCCGUGUGAUUGGCGGAGGUUUCGGGGUGCUCUUCGUUGAGUGACUCGGAGCGCCGUCAGGUUUACUUUGAAAAAAUUAGAGUGCUCAAAGCAGGCUUUUCACGCUUGAAUAUUCGUGCAUGGAAUAAUGGAAUAGGAACUCGUUUCUAUUUUGUUGGUUUUCGGAAAUCGAGUUAAUGAUU
rnacentral:rRNA from 1 species